CUGGCUAACCAUUAACUAAUCAAGUGGCUUGCCAUCUUUCAGUAAAAUUAAUUAGCUGCAGUCUUAUAAGCUAACUGUAAGUCAGCUGGCUGCGAUAGCUGGGCCCCACUGCACAGUACUAACGUUAGUUACUGCUUAUAUUUUCAGGAGAUUCUAUCAGCGUAUUUCCUCACUUGGGCAGGGAGCUCAUGCCUAAAUUCAAAAGACUCCAGGACUUUCAGAAGACUUAAUAAAACGACAUUGAUGCUUUUGUUUUACCGAAAAUGCAACUGCGUGAAUUGUGGGAACUGGACUGGUUCCUCUUGUGCCUGCCAAUAAGUGCCAUUAUCCCGCUGUCCUGGAUGUGGCUGCAUUGGAUGUUCUUGAGCAAAUACCCUGGUAACCUGGAAGGAAUCUCACUCCUGCGUGACAUUGGAGAUCUGCCUCCUUGUCGGUGUGGUUUUGACCUGGCUGAUGGAAUCAAGAAACAUUACUGUGAUUUCCACUUUAUUUAUGAACUGCAAGACUUCCAUGGGUGGGCAAUGCAGUUGUCCACUAAAGGUUCUGCACUGUAAAAACCAAAAGUGUGUCAGCUGCAGAUGCCCGUGUGUGUGUGUGGACUACUCAUGGCACUAACGGAGUGAUGUGGGGCAGGUGUCGGGGCUCUCCAUCCGGCUGGCCGACCUGCCGAUUCCUCUGGCUGAGCUCCCCAUCUGGACCCACAGUCACCACCACUGAUGUGGUCAGCAAUCCCACCACCGGCGCCAUCUUUCCUCCCAUCCUGUCCCCUCUGAUCCAUCAUCGGAAUUGUUCAGUACUCUACCCCAUCUUGAUGACAUCACAAAGACGGUAAUGUUGUCUAGAGACAAGUCGUAAAUAGUGGGGGGAAAUGAAAAGAUACCUCUCCUCUGAUGUUGCACAGAGACACUCGCAUCCUGCAGUCUUCCUGUGAGUCACCAGAGAGCUCAGCCUGCCCAUCUCUGCUGUUAGCGGCUUCCAAAGGACAGGGAGAUUGGAGGGUGGUGGAGUUUGGAGCUACGGAAGAGGCUGCAACACCAUGGACCAAACUAGAAUAGAAAAUGGUAGUAAUUACAGACACCAAUAACCCCUGAGAAUUACCUUGUUGAGCACUCAAAGGCUUUUAAUUUCUGCAGCCGACAUGGAGCCAAAUAACCUAUGCAAAAUUAAAAAUGUCUCGAUCUAGCUUGUCUGUGG